AUUGAACGCUGGCGGCAGGCCUAACACAUGCAAGUCGAGCGGAUGAAGGGAGCUUGCUCCUGGAUUCAGCGGCGGACGGGUGAGUAAUGCCUAGGAAUCUGCCUGGUAGUGGGGGAUAACGUCCGGAAACGGGCGCUAAUACCGCAUACGUCCUGAGGGAGAAAGUGGGGGAUCUUCGGACCUCACGCUCUCAGAUGAGCCUAGGUCGGAUUAGCUAGUUGGUGGGGUAAAGGCCUACCAAGGCGACGAUCCGUAACUGGUCUGAGAGGAUGAUCAGUCACACUGGAACUGAGACACGGUCCAGACUCCUACGGGAGGCAGCAGUGGGGAAUAUUGGACAGUGGGCGAAAGCCUGAUCCAGCCAGGCCGCGUGUGUGAAGAAGGUCUUCGGAUUGUAAAGCACUUUAAGUUGGGAGGAAGGGCAGUAAGUUAAUACCUUGCUGUUUUGACGUUACCAACAGAAUAAGCACCGGCUAACUUCGUG
rnacentral:rRNA from 1 species